rnacentral:sRNA from 1 species
ACGUCGGUGAGACGUCUACUGGAGCAGAU